rnacentral:rRNA from 1 species
UGGGGAAUUUUGGACAAUGGGCGAAAGCCUGAUCCAGCAAUGCCGCGUGUGUGAAGAAGGCCUUCGGGUUGUAAAGCACUUUUGUCCGGAAAGAAAUCCUCUGGGUUAAUACCUCGGGGGGAUGACGGUACCGGAAGAAUAAGCACCGGCUAACUACGUGCCAGCAGCCGCGGUAAUACGUAGGGUGCAAGCGUUAAUCGGAAUUACUGGGCGUAAAGCGUGCGCAGGCGGUUUUGUAAGACGGAUGUGAAAUCCCCGGGCUUAACCUGGGAACUGCAUUCGUGACUGCAAGGCUAGAGUAUGGCAGAGGGGGGUAGAAUUCCACGUGUAGCAGUGAAAUGCGUAGAGAUGUGGAGGAAUACCGAUGGCGAAGGCGCCGCCUGGGCCAAUACUGACGCUCAUGCACGAAAGCGUGGGGAGCAAACAGGAUUAGAUACCCUGGUAGUCCACGCCCUAAACGAUGUCAACUAGUUGUUGGGGAUUCAUUUCCUUAGUAACGUAGCUAACGCGUGAAGUUGACCGCCUGGGGAGUACGGUCGCAAGAUUAAAACUUAAAUGAAUUGACGGGGUCAUAGCUGUUUCCU